rnacentral:rRNA from 1 species
UGGGGGGAGCAAGCGUUGUUCGGAUUUACUGGGCGUAAAGGGCGCGUAGGCGGCCACCGCAAGUCAGUUGUGAAAUCUCUGGGCUUAACCCAGAAAGGUCAACUGAUACUGCGGGGCUAGAGUGCAGAAGGGGCAACUGGAAUUCUCGGUGUAGCGGUGAAAUGCGUAGAUAUCGAGAGGAACACCUGCGGCGAAGGCGGGUUGCUGGGCUGACACUGACGCUGAGGCGCGAAAGCUAGGGGAGCGAACGGGAUUAGAUACCCCGGUAGUCCUAGCCUUAAACGAUGAAUGCUUGGUGUCUGGGGUUAUAUAGUCCCCGGGUGCCGUCGCUAACGCUUUAAGCAUUCCGCCUGGGGAGUACGGUCGCAAGACUG